GACGAACGCUGGCGGCGUGCCUAAUACAUGCAAGUAGAACGCUGAAGGAGGAGCUUGCUUCUCCGGAUGAGUUGCGAACGGGUGAGUAACGCGUAGGUAACCUGCCUGGUAGCGGGGGAUAACUAUUGGAAACGAUAGCUAAUACCGCAUAAGAGUAGAUGUCGCAUGACAUUUGCUUAAAAGGUGCAACUGCACCACUACCAGAUGGACCUGCGUUGUAUUAGCUAGUUGGUGAGGUAACGGCUCACCAAGGCAACGAUACAUAGCCGACCUGAGAGGGUGAUCGGCCACACUGGGACUGAGACACGGCCCAGACUCCUACGGGAGGCAGCAGUAGGGAAUCUUCGGCAAUGGACGGAAGUCUGACCGAGCAACGCCGCGUGAGUGAAGAAGGGUUUCGGAUCGUAAAGCUCUGUUGUAAGAGAAGAACGAGUGUGAGAGUGGAAAGUUCACACUGUGACGGUAUCUUACCAGAAGGGGACGGCUAACUACGUG
rnacentral:rRNA from 1 species